AUGGAUCCACAACGAGACUUCCCCGCCGACGUGCUGGCGAACAUCCUGAUGCGCCUCCCGCCCAACACCCGCCGCCGUCUCCGCCUCGUCUGCCGGCACUGGCGCCACGUCGUCGGCACGCGCACGGCCACCAGCCUACGGAGCCGCGCCAAGACACUCGUCGCCGCCACGGGCUCCGCCUGCGUCAUCGACAACCUAUGGGCUCCAUGGAAGCCCAGGGAGCUGUGGCCGGAUUUCAUGGCACACCGCUACAAGGACAUGAGCGUCGUCGGAACCUGCAACGGCCUCGUCUGCCUCUGCGAUGACCGGGAGCUCGGCGGUGCCAUCACCGUGGCCAACCCUGCCACGGGCGAGGCGCUGAACCUCCCGCCGCUGCCGCCGCCGCGUUUUGAUGAUCAAAGCACGUGCUACGAUAGGAGCUGGCACGCGGCCUACAGCUUCGCCUACCUCCUGACCUCGGGGCUCUACAAGGUUGUCCACGUCCCCUGCCAUCUGGACCGGUCCGUCUACGACAGGGUGCACGUGUUUACGCUGGGGGAGAAAUCGUGGCGGGGUGUGCCGGCCAGCUCCGGCGCGAGAUGUAGCCUCGGCGACAACGUCGUCAGCGUCGACGGCGUGACGUACUGGACCACGCCGGAGGCCGACAAGGUCAUGUCGUUCGACCUCGAGCACGGACGCUUCACGUCCAUUAGGUCACUACCCUCCGUAGUGUUGUCCAGCUCCAAAAACGGCGGCAGCUGGCACCUAGGAGAUGUGCACGGGAGGCUGGCCAUCGUCUUUACCCAGUUCUCGCCGGCGAUGGAGAGGACGGAGGUCUGGGUAAUGCAGGGUCGUACGGUGGGGCAGAUCAGGUGGAGCUGCUGGUACAUCAUUCAGACGAGAACGCCGCCGCAUCGGCCGCGGGAACCGUCAUCGAGAACAAAGAUGCGGCGCCUCACAUGGCCACUCCUCGUCCAGGACGAGCAGAUCCUCACAUGGGAGUGGUCGUUGUAUGAACGAGAUCAUGUCUUGUACAGGCACAAACCGAUUGACGACCACACAAGGAAGGCGAAGCAUGGCGCAGUGGAUAUCAGCGAGAGGAAUCGGGGGACGGUGGUCGCCGACAUUAACAUGUUGCCACACCGCAACGACCGCCGGACGUUCGCCUACGUGGAGACCAAGGAACCGUUGAGUGCCUACGGGCCUCUUGCGUCACCAUUUCCCCUGUACAUGCAAUCAUCGUCGUCGUCAUUACCCCGCUCUCAUCUUCCAACAAAGCUUGCGCGACACUACGAGCGUAGCCAUUGA
rnacentral:rRNA from 1 species